rnacentral:lncRNA from 1 species
UUUUUUUUUUUUUUUUUUGGUCUUUUUGCUAUUUCUUGGGCCGCUCCCGUGGCAUAUGGAGGUUCCCAGGCUAGGGGUCAAACCGGAGCCGUAGACACUGGCCUACGCCAGAGCCACAGCAACGCAGGAUCCAAGCCGCAUCUGCAACCUACACCGCAGCUCACGGCAACGCCAGAUCGUUAACCCACUGAGCAAGGGCAGGGACCGAACCCACAACCCCAUGGUUCCUAGUCGGAUUCGUUAACCACUGCACCACGACGGGAACUCCAGGAAUGUUUUUAAUUGUAAGAGUGUAUGCUAGGUUCUCUGCACUAGUGACCCCAAUUACAAUCCUUUGAAGUGAAUGCUACCUCCAUUUUACAGAAGGAAUUCUGAGGCAUGUGAUUCUAAUAACUUUCCAUAGGUCACACAGCAAGUUAGAAGACCAGGCAUAACAGACGCUCAAAGAGUAUUGACUUUUCUUCAUAUGUGGACAUCCUUCUGUGGUUCAGAACCACCCACAAACUCCCUGGCCAAGGACAAGAGUUACAGGUUAAAACUUAGGCAGUGUAUGGCAAAGUCCCUUUCCUUUCUCUUUGGUCUGCAUUUGGUCAGGCCUCUGCACCCAGUGGGGAAUCCUUGGUUAGGCGAGAAGGGUGGUGUACUGGAAGGGGCAACAUGAAUUUUUUUUUCUUUCAUUUUUGGCCAUCCCACGGCAUAUGGAGUUCCCAGGCCAGGAAUGAGAUCCAAGCUGCAGGUGCAGCCUAAACUGCAGCUGUGACAACACCCAAGCCUUGAUCCACUGUGCUGGGGAGAUUGAGUCCCAGCACUCCCAAGAUGCCCCCAAUCCUACUGCGCCACAGUGGGAACUCCCGAAACCUGAAGUUUAAUCCUAGCUAUGGCUAUUUAUUAAUCUGGCAUCCAGCAAACUUCUGAGUGGCACCUAUAUUCAAGUUCCACCAAGCUUCAGGUGUUCCAUUUGUAAAAUGGGAAUACUAUUGGAUUACCCUGCCCAACUGGAUUAUAGGUAAAAAUAUAUAAAAGUCUGACAUAGUUAAGGGCUUUACACAUAAUCAGUGCUCAAUAAGUGGUAAUUAUUUUUUAAGUUUAUGGAACACAAUCCCUCAUUUUCCUCUUUAGUCACAAAGUUUUAAACUUUUUCACUCCAUUAAUUCUUUUAAAGUGUCUCUGACAUUCAGGCAGUGUGGUAUAUGGUGUCGGAGUCCUGGCUUUGGAGUCAAAUGCCUGUAUGGAUUUGGGAAAGUUGCUUAAACUAAGCAUUUGUUUUCUUACCUAUAAAAUAAGGAUGACACAGGACCUAUUUCAGGAGCUAUUGUGAGGCAUAAGUGAAAUAAUGCAUGUGGAGCUCUCAGGGGCUGGUAUAUAACAGGCAUUCAAAUAAUUAGUAAUAAUGUUCCUUGCCGCUGUCUUAGCCUUCAGGAUUUUUUCCCUUACCCCUAGUCUCCCUCUGCUAUAUCUCAGAUUGUCUAGAUCAAUCUUCCUGAAGACAUUUUUUUUAACAGCCACACCUGUGGCAUAUGAGAGAUGGCAGGCUACGGGUUGAAUCAGAGCCCCAGAUGGGACCUACACCACAAUCACAGCAACACUGGAUCCAAGCUGCAUCUUUGACCUAUGCAGCAACUUGCAACAACAAUGGAUUCUUUUUUUUUUUUUUUUGGUCUUUUUGGUCUUUUUGCCUUUUCUUGGGCCGCUCCCGCGCCAUAUGGAGGUUCUCAGGCUAGGGGUCCAACCGGAGCUGUAGCCACCAGCCUACACCACAGCCACAGCAACUCGGGAUCGGAGCCUCAUCUGCGACCUACACCACAGAUCAUGGCAACGCCGGAUCCUUAACCCACUGAGCAAGGCCAGGGACUGAACCUGCAACCUCAUGGUUCCUAGUCAGGUUCGUUAACCACUGAGCCACAAUGGGAACUCCAACAACAAACAACAACGGAUACUUAACCCACUGAGGCUUUCCGGGGAUUGGAUCUCACGGACACUAUGUUGGCUUCUUACCCACUGAGCCACAACAGGAGCUCCUUGAAGACCAUUUUAGUAACAUAAAAACCCUCAUGACUGCUCUAACCUUGUUGGAUAAAAAUCUUAAAUGCCUUACAUUGUGCUAGAAACCAUCUAUUAGAUUUUCUUAAAUUUGUUUCUCACAACUUUCAAAAAUACUCUGGUCCUCCAAACUCACUAUAUCUGCUAUGCCGUAACAGGAACUCCGAUUUCACUCAUUUUAGACACGAGAGUUUUUAAAAUUCAAAUAUGGUCACUGUAGAAAUUAUGUGUAUGAGUUACCUAUUGCUGUGUAACAGAUUACUAUCUUAGUUUCUGUGGGUCAAGAAUUUGGGAGUGGCUUAGCUGGGUGGUUCUAGCUUAGGGUCUCUAGAGGUUGGAGAGGAAUUAGACUCCACCUUUUGAAUGGAUUGUCAAGGAAUUUGAGAACAUAUUUUAAAUCAUCUUUGUGGGUUUAAUUAUUGUGUGUUCACUAUAGAGAAAUUAGAAAACAAAGACAAGCCCAAAAAAGGAAGAAAUUCUUAUCCAAUAAUGGAUAACAUCACCAUAUGGAGGUAUAUAAUUCCAGUCUUACUAUGUUUUUUUUGGCCAUGCCCAUCACAUGCGGAAGUUCCUGGCCAGUAUUGAACCCAUGCCACCACUGUAAUCAGCCUCGGCAGUGACAAAGCCAGAUCCUUAACCACUAAGCCACAAGGGAACUCCUCAAAAUACAAACUAUGUAUACUAUUUUGUAACCUGCUCUUCACUUAAUAUUAUGUAAAGCUACUUCUCAUGUCAGAGAUUCCUUCAUAACAUUUUAAAUACCUGCAUAACAUUUUAUUAUAUGUAUGUACUAUAACUUUUUUUUUUUCUUUCUUUUUUUUUUUUUUUGCUUUUUAGUGCCACACUCAUGGCAUAUGGAGGUUCCCAGGCUAGGGAUCUAAUCAGAGCUACAGCUGCCAACCACAGCCACAGCCCCAGAAACACCAGAUCUGAGCCGAGUCUGCAACCUACACCACAGCUCACAGCGAUGCUGGAUCCUUAAACCACUGAGUGAGGCCACGGAUCAAACCCGCGAUCUCAUGGUUCUAGUCAGAUUCAUUUCUACUGCGCCACUAUGGGAACUCCUAUUAUAACUUCUUUAAUUUUUUUUUUUUUUUUCUUUUUAGGACCGCACUGUGGCACAUGGAAAUUUCCAGGCUUGGGGUACAAUUGGAACUGCAGCUGGGGGCCUACACCACAGCUCACAGCAACACAACACCAGAUCCUUAACCCACUGAGUGAGGCCAGGGAUUGAACCUGCAUCCUAAUGGAUACUAGUUGGGUUCAUUACAACUGAGCCACUAGGGAACUCCUAAAAUGUACUGUUAAAAGCACUUUACACCAAGUAUCCUUGAAGCACAGAUCCUCCAGGGCUUUGGAUCUGCUGUUCCCUCUGCCAGGAAUGCUCUUACCCUUGACAAACACAAAGCUUGCUUCCCCACUUACUCAAAAAUUUCGUUCAGAUACCACCUCUUCAAAGGCUCCUGCUCUCUCCAACUUCUAACUUCCUUACCCUGCUUUUGCUUCCUAUCUCCACCAUCCAAUUUAUGUAGGUAUUAGUGUCUCACUCCCUGAAUUUAAACUCCAUUUAACUAGAUUAUCUCCAGAACCUAGCUAAUGCUUGUAGACCAUUCAGAACAUCUUGUUUAAUUAUAAGUAAACUAAUACCAUCCCAAUUACAGGCACAAAUUCUAUAAUAUAUAUGGAAGGGGUUGGAACAUUUAUUAACAUACAUAGAUGUGGGGCAUUAUUAUUGUCUGAAUUUUUGAUUGGAUCCAGAAAAAACAAGUAGAACCAACUUAGCUCUGUCGAUCCCUAAAGUUCUCCGUUUUCUUCAUUUCGGUUAUUACGUGCCCACACUGCG